AUAGAUUCUCUUGACUGAAGCUGUUUCCUGAGGAGGUCUGUGUAGCUGUAGAGCCCCUUCACCAGUUGGCUCCAGGGCUCCUACCACCUUCCAGAACAUGAGAUGGCUGAAAUGAGAAAACUGUCCAUAGCUGCAUAAUCCAUACCAGUGAAAGCAGAUCUACAGGCAUUUAGUAGCAAUCAAUCACUUAUACAUUCCUUGCUGCAUGCUGUCAAAGAUAGGUCAAGGCUCCACCCAGCACAGAUUGCAGAAUAUUCCUUUGGCUUCAGGGAGCUGUUAUGGGAUUUUCUAUGGGGGCACACCUCAGUGUCAUUUGCUCCCUUGUCUACUUUAGAGUCCAAAUCAGCAGUUGCAGAAGGUGCCUGGGCAACUGCAACUCCUCUGCCUCCAAUUGUUAUCUGGUGUUUCUCUGAAGCACUAAUGAGAGGGGAGCUGCAUCUCCUAAGCUGUGUCUUCUCAAACAAAAAUCUUAAGUUCCAUGAGGAGGCAUUGGUACAUAUUCAAAGCCAGAAAGUGGGAAGACAAGUAGUUUAAUUUCAAAACUGCGUUAAAGUGAAUUAUAACAAUGGCAUUGAAAAAGUGAAAUAAUCCUGAACCUAACAAAUACAAUCAAAGCAUGAUUCAAAAAAGAAGUUGUUUCAGUAUGACUGACAGACACACUUGGAACUCUAUUGGAAGUCAGUAAGGCAGCACUUCUAGGAGACAGAAACCCUGCCUGACUGUGUGAAUGGAUGGAGAAAGAUCAUGUGCUGUGCUAAGAGGAAGGGCAGAUCACUGAAAGACAAAAGGAACACUUCGUCAAUACCUAAAAAUAUUGAGGAAACUGAGAAAGAAUCGUAUUUGUCCAGCAAACGUUCAGCUUUCAUACUUGGAGUUUAUCCUUGAAGUGAUGACAAUUCAUCUAUAUUAUUCCUGUUGGUUUCCAGGUCUUGAAACCUGAACUAAAAUAAUUCAUGUUUUAUUGAAGUUCUUUGGCACUGUAAUUAUUUUUGUCUUAUAAACACUUGGUAAAGAUUACAGAUUUAUUUAUUGAUUGUCUGGAGAAAAAGUUCACAGUGGCCUUAAAGACCAUACAAGCUUUUUUCAUGUUAGAGGAAUUCAAACUCAAAAUGAACUGAGAAAUUUUAUUUGACUUUAAACUGUUUUAUAUUUUGGUAAAUAAUA